AGACGGAGGGUGCAAGCGUUAAUCGGAAUUACUGGGCGUAAAGCGCUCGUAGGCGGCUUGUUAAGUCGGAUGUGAAAGCCCUGGGCUCAACCUGGGAACUGCAUUCGAUACUGUAUAGCUAGAGUUUGGUAGAGGGAAGUGGAAUUCCACAUGUAGCGGUGAAAUGCGUAGAUAUGUGGAGGAACACCAGUGGCGAAGGCGACUUCCUGGACCAAAACUGACGCUGAGGUGCGAAAGCGUGGGUAGCAAACAGGAUUAGAAACCCGGGUAGUCC
rnacentral:rRNA from 1 species